GAAAAACACUGUCUACACUUUUCUGUCAUUUAACUAUUUAUCUAUUACUUAACUUCUUUGGUGUAGAAUGAACGGCUGUUAUCAGCAGGAAAAGCUGUCCAACGAUUUAUGCACUUCCUCAUAUUUUCUGCAGUGUUUGCCUGGCCGAUUCUGGCCCCCGGGCCUUAUUUUUGACACCUUUGGGUUAUAGCAGAAUAUAUAAGGUGUCUGUCUCCCUGCUUGUUACAAAAUGACACCUUCAAUACAAAAUAAACCGACUGGGUGCACGAGGACAGGAUGAGGCAAUCAGGAAGAGGUCUGUGUGCAGACAGGAGGCUGAUCACAUCCACGAUGAGAGGACUCGCACUGCUCUGUUUGGUGGGAUUUAUUCUCACAGCUUCGCUGCAUGAAGGAGGCGCAGCACCAUCAUCGGAUGAUGCUGGCAGCUGGCAUCCUCUUGAAAGCACUGGCAAUUUUCCAACUGCUCCAACUCGUGUAAACGAGACCUUGCAUCCAAAUAAUUCUACUCAUGCUGGAAAUGCCACAGAGGUUGUUCAUCACAACAAUACAGCUGCAGCAACAGUGAAAGAAGACGUGUGAUGCUAAAAAUGUGGAAACAAGAAUCUUACUGUCUUCUCUGAAUAAAUACUAAAAUUAUGGUGUGAGAAAAAGAUUUUCUUAUUGUAUAGGAUUUAAAGUGUGUUUUUAAACACAUUUAAGAUCUUGAAAGGUCGGGUCCAAACACACAUAAAACACCAAAUCCACAAAAAAAAAGUUUGAAGGAAGCACCAGCAACAAAUAAGUUAAUUUAAAAAAAAAGAAAAAAGAGCGAGGGCAAAAAAGUGUGUAUGAUAACUUUUGAGACAAGUGCCGUUAUUCACCACUAAAAUAAAACAGUUAAGGUUGUGUACCUCAACUUGGGGGUGAAAAUCAAACAAUUAUAAAAUCUAAAAUAAUCGAAACAAAACUAAAUACAAUAACGUUUUUGACUAUCUUGUUUCACGCUCAGUCAUCCAGGUAAGUAAAGGUUGAUUCUGUAGUUUUCAGUGGGAGAAACGUUUCGUCACUCAUCCAAGUGACUUCUUCAGUCUCAGCUGACGGCAGGUUUCCUCAACCUUAUAAACAGUAGAUUUGCAUAAUGACUGAAACUAGCACCACUGAUGAACAGGCUGUGAGGUCAGUUCCUUGAUCAGAGUCUUGGGUCGAUUUGUGGCUAUUUUCAAAUUUCGAUUACAUGCCAUUUGCACAGUGUUGAAUGGAAUAUAGCGAAAGUCGGCAAAAAAAAGUUCGGUCACAUUUACUGUUAAAAUUUCAGUAUGACUUCCGGAAAUUAGCUUCAGUGGCUAAGCUAGCGAUAAACUUACACUAUCGGUCCUAGUGGUCGAUUUGUGCCCCAUUGAAACCCAUUAUAAACGCUAUUUUUCACGGCAAAAAAAUUACGGUCAAAUCGAUCGUGAUCGGUUAUGUUUCCGCUUCCGCUUGCAGUACUGGCCUUAGAGUUGUAAUUUUUUUAUUUGUCCACCGGGUGGCGCCCUUGCUCCACAUGUGACGCCUGCUGGAACAUACACAUGUUCUCCAGCGGCCUGCUGGAGACAGAUACCCGGAAAAGGCAGACUAAUUUCCCGCGUACAGCAGCAGCUUGGCCCGCUGCUCGUUCCGGACCAUUUUCUGACCUUAGGAUCGUUUGAGGGUGCAUUAAUUUUUUUUAAUCAACAGGAAAUGACGUAUUUGUUUUCACGUGGUAGCGGAAGUGUGUGCUGCAGACACGGGAACCGAACCAUAUGCUCCGGCGCUGCGCGAAACACACCCGCGGCAGAGGCACUCCUCCCCGGGGGAGCAGGAGCAGCAGCGCCGCCUGGGGACAUUUUUGGCUUCUGAAAAAAAAAUUAAAACCGGAUCGAAAUUAAUGUUGGUGCCAAUCUUUUGUCCAUCUAAAGGCCUAAUUAUAAUAACAAUAAAAUAUUACUUCAAAUGUUUUUUUUGGAAAAUAUUUUAUGUUUUAUGUUUUAUGUUUUUGGGGCAAAAAAAGCAGUGCGCUCAUGUGAGGAAACCGGGAUAUAAAGGGUUAAAAUCCGCAAAAUGUAAUUAAAACUUGACAUGAAUAUUUCAAGGAGAAGUAGGUCUAAAAGAUUGGCUAAUUUAAAGUGGAAUAAAAUAUUAAUAUAUAAAUUUUUUAUAGCACUUUUUGGGCGUGGUCGAUUUGUGGCUCUAAGACCGAUAGUGUAUGCAUUUUUCUAAGACCCUCCAGGGGAAUAUGCAAAUUGUCAUGACCAUUGAUCAAAGACCACUGAUCAAUGGCCAUGAGUACCAUUCCCAGAGAGUUGGGGAAUGGCUGCAAUCACAGCAUUGUAAGAUGGUGACAGAUGUACCCUUAGGCCCCCUCCUCGAUUCAGAGAUACUCCUGACACAUAAGAGAUCACUAAGGGUUUUCGCUUAGGCGGCAGUUGUCCUCUCCUGGAUCGCCUGGAGCUUUCUUUGGGUGCCUUCCCGUCUGGGAUAACCACAUUAACUCAGGGCCUUCUUGAUGUGAUGUUCUGGCCGCUGUGUCAGUGGGGAUGGUGUUCGCUCUGUGCUGUAACGUCCUGGCAUCACCCAGUUUGUGCUCCAGUGGAUGAUGAGACUCAAACCUUAAAUACUGAUCUGUAUUUGUUGAUUUAUGGUACACAUCAACUUUUAAAUGUCCCCCAUUACUGAUGGAUGUUUUUGACUUUUGCAUAUGUAACUGUAAAUUUACCAAUUCUUGAAACUUUUUUGAUCUUUAACAUCCAUCGCAGGUUUGCAGUGUAUGCUUCUGUCCAUGUUAAAAUAAUUUCAAGUAAUUUCAAUUUGACAGGGAUGAUGCAGUUUUACGUAUGUCAAAUACAAACCUGUUGUUAAUAUUAAAUAUUUGUCCCCUUUUUGAUCUUCAUAAUUCACUUAUUUGGUUUCAGUUUUUAGUAUCCAGGAAGAAAAGGUUUAAAAUCUUUUUUCCAUUAUUUGAACAGAUUUUAACUUAGCUGUAAUUAUUUCUUUCUUCUUUUUUAAAAAAAAAUCAGAAUGUUUCUUCCUGUCAGUCAUUAAAUAAUUUAUUUUAAGACUGAAGUUUGAAAGCUGAAGGUCUCCACAGAACCUGCACAUUCAGCCCCUGACAAACUAACAUGACAACAUCUGUCUGAACAAAGACUAAAGCUGGUUUUGGUCUUUUUAACACUAUUAGUUUAUAUUUGGAUUAUUCAAUUUCAAUAAUUCAUUAAUAAAAUGUUUUUCACCAAACAUAACACUUCAGAAAUAAACAAGAAAGAAAGGCCUGAACUAAACUAGUACAAAAUGUUGUAGAGAAUAAAGAAAAGUAAAGAAUGCAAACAUAUUUACAUUUGCUAACAAACGAAC
ensembl:lncRNA